ACUCAAAUGAAUAGACGGGGGCCCGCACAAGCGGUGGAUUAUGUGGUUUAAUUCGAUGCAACGCGCAAAACCUUACCUAGGCUUGACAUCCCGCGCAUAGCUAUGAAAGUAGUGAAAUCCCUUCGGGGACGCGGUGACAGGUGCUGCAUGGCUGUCGUCAGCUCGUGUCGUGAGAUGUUGGGUUAAGUCCCGCAACGAGCGCAACCCUUGUGGUUAGUUGCCAGCAUUAAGUUGGGCACUCUAGCCAGACCGCUUGCCGAUAAGGCAGAGGAAGGUGGGGAUGACGUCAAGUCCGCAUGGCCCUUACGCCUAGGGCUACACACGUAAUACAAUGGACGGUACAAAGCGCUGCAAGACCGAAAGGUGGAGCUAAUCGCAGAAAACCGUUCUCAGUUCGGAUUGUACUCUGCAACUCGAGUACAUGAAGCUGGAAUCGCUAGUAAUCGCGGAUAAGUAUGCCGCGGUGAAUACGUUCCCGGGCCUUGUACACACCGCCCGU
rnacentral:rRNA from 1 species